UUAUUGAACGCUGGCGGCAGGCCUAACACAUGCAAGUCGAACGGUAACAGGAAGCAGCUUGCUGCUUUGCUGACGAGUGGCGGACGGGUGAGUAAUGUCUGGGAAACUGCCCGAUGGAGGGGGAUAACUACUGGAAACGGUAGCUAAUACCGCAUAACGUCGCAAGACCAAAGAGGGGGACCUUCGGGCCUCUUGCCAUCGGAUGUGCCCAGAUGGGAUUAGCUAGUAGGUGGGGUAACGGCUCACCUAGGCGACGAUCCCUAGCUGGUCUGAGAGGAUGACCAGCCACACUGGAACUGAGACACGGUCCAGACUCCUACGGGAGGCAGCAGUGGGGAAUAUUGCACAAUGGGCGCAAGCCUGAUGCAGCCAUGCCGCGUGUAUGAAGAAGGCCUUCGGGUUGUAAAGUACUUUCAGCGGGGAGGAAGGGAGUAAAGUUAAUACCUUUGCUCAUUGACGUUACCCGCAGAAGAAGCACCGGCUAACUCCGUGCCAGCAGCCGCGGUAAUACGGAGGGUGCAAGCGUUAAUCGGAAUUACUGGGCGUAAAGCGCACGCAGGCGGUUUGUUAAGUCAGAUGUGAAAUCCCCGGGCUCAACCUGGGAACUGCAUCUGAUACUGGCAAGCUUGAGUCUCGUAGAGGGGGGUAGAAUUUCAGGUGUACCGGUGAAAUGCGUAGAGAUCUGGAGGAAUACCGGUGGCGAAGGCGGCCCCCUGGACGAAGACUGACGCUCAGGUGCGAAAGCGUGGGGAGCAAACAGGAUUAGAUACCCUGGUAGUCCACGCCGUAAACGAUGUCGACUUGGAGGUUGUGCCCUUGAGGCGUGGCUUCCGGAGCUAACGCGUUAAGUCGACCGCCUGGGGAGUACGGCCGCAAGGUUAAAACUCAAAUGAAUUGACGGGGGCCCGCACAAGCGGUGGAGCAUGUGGUUUAAUUCGAUGCAACGCGAAGAACCUUACCUGGUCUUGACAUCCACGGAAGUUUUCAGAGAUGAGAAUGUGCCUUCGGGAACCGUGAGACAGGUGCUGCAUGGCUGUCGUCAGCUCGUGUUGUGAAAUGUUGGGUUAAGUCCCGCAACGAGCGCAACCCUUAUCCUUUGUUGCCAGCGGUCCGGCCGGGAACUCAAAGGAGACUGCCAGUGAUAAACUGGAGGAAGGUGGGGAUGACGUCAAGUCAUCAUGGCCCUUACGACCAGGGCUACACACGUGCUACAAUGGCGCAUACAAAGAGAAGCGACCUCGCGAGAGCAAGCGGACCUCAUAAAGUGCGUCGUAGUCCGGAUUGGAGUCUGCAACUCGACUCCAUGAAGUCGGAAUCGCUAGUAAUCGUGGAUCAGAAUGCCACGGUGAAUACGUUCCCGGGCCUUGUACACACCGCCCGUCACACCAUGGGAGUGGGUUGCAAAAGAAGUAGGUAGCUUAACCUACGGGAGGGCGCUUACCACUUUGUGAUUCA
rnacentral:rRNA from 1 species